AGUGAACGCUGGCGGUAGGCCUAACACAUGCAAGUCGAACGGCAGCACAGUAAGAGCUUGCUCUUACGGGUGGCGAGUGGCGGACGGGUGAGGAAUACAUCGGAAUCUACUUUUUCGGGGGGGAUAACGUAGGUAAACUUACUCUAAUACCGCAUACGACCUACGGGUGAAAGCAGGGGAACUUCGGACCUUGCGCGAUUGAAUGAGCCGCUGUCGGAUUGGCUAGUUGGCGGGGUAAAGGCCCACCAGGGCGACGAUCCGUAGCUGGUCUGAGAGGCUGAUCAGCCACACUGGAACUGAGACACGGUCCAGACUACUAAGGGAGGCAGCAGUGGGGAAUAUUGGACAAUGGGCGCAAGCCUGAUCCAGCCAUACCGCGUGGGUGAAGAAGGCCUUCGGGUUGUAAAGCCCUUUUGUUGGGAAAGAAAAGCAGCAGGUUAAUACCACGCUGUUCUGACGGUACCCAAAGAAUAAGCACCGGCUAACUUCGUG
rnacentral:rRNA from 1 species